AUCACUUCUCGGCCUUUUGGCUUAGAUCAAGUGUAGUAAAAAGAAUUACAAUUACCAUUACAAAUCAUGAUAUUUGUUAUAUUACCAUAA
ensembl:snRNA U2 U2 spliceosomal RNA